rnacentral:rRNA from 1 species
CAUAUCACUAAGCGGAGAAAAAGAAAAUAACCAUGAUUCCUAAAGUAACGGCGAGUGAAAUAGGAAAAGCCCAUAGCCGAAUUCCGUUGUCCUCGACGGCAACUGGAAGUUGUGGCGUUUGGAACUGCCUUUAGUAACCGAUCGGUCGGGCUACGCGACUCCUCUUGAUUGUGGUUUGCCCAUAGCAGGUGAAAGGCCUAUUGGUCGUAGCCUCGUGUUGAAGACCGGCGGUGAUGGUGGUUCUUAGAGUCGGGUUGUUUGGGAUUGCAGCCCGAAGCAGGUGGUAAACUCCACCUAAGGCUAAAUACGAUCGCGAGUCCGAUAGCGAACAAGUACCGUGAGGGACAGUUGAAAAGAACUUUGAAGAGAGAGUUCAAAGUACGUGAAACCGUUCAGAGGUAAACGGGUAGAAAGUCGAAUUUAGGGUUGACAAUCAGACUGAAGCCGUGUCGGUGUCGGGCUUGUAGCACGUUAAUGGCUAUCUGUUCGCACGUCUGGCUGGCAACGGUUGUAUUUGUUGACUCUACAUCGCCGCGGCGACAGUGACUGACCGGUUUGGCGUGGGUUCCUCUGGCUGAUGUAGGCCCGUUUGGGUUUUUAACGUUGGCAAAUGAACUGGCGUCCUGCGUACGUGUCACAGUUGAGUAGUGAGCAGUUUAAGUGUUCCAACUGGCGGUUCGUUCGUUUCGUACUGGCAGGUUGAUCUUAAAUAAGUUCGAUCGCUGGUAUCGGGGUGGCGGCUGUUGGCUUAAAGACGGAACAAAGACUGCCUCGGCGGCGUUUGACAACGAAUUAUCUACCCGACCCGUCUUGAAACACGGACCAAGGAGUCUAACUUGUGCGCGAGUUAUUGGGAAUAGAACAUACCCAAAGGCGAAGUGAAAGCAAAACUGGUGAGAUCUGUCGUUUAUUUGUUGAGCAGAUAACGGCGGCGCAUCAUCGUCACGCCUCAACUCGGCUUCGGCUGAAGAGGCGCAGAUAGAGCGUACAAGUUGGGACCCGAAAGAUGGUGAACUAUGCGAGGCGAGGUCGAAGCCAGAGGAAACUCUGGUGGAGGACUGUAGCGGUUCUAACGUGCAAAUUGAUCGUCGCAGCUUCGUAUAGGGGCGAAAGACUAAUCGAACCAUCUAGUAGCUGGUUCCCUCCGAAGUUUCCCUCAGGAUAGCUGGCACUUUCGGAGAGCAGUUUUGUCCGGUAAAGCGAAUGACUAGAGGCCUUGGGGACAUAACGACCUCAACCUAUUCUCAAACUUUGAAUGGGCAAGAAGAGCAACUCACUUGAAUGGAGUUGUCUCAUUGUGAAUGCUUGAGUGCCAAGUGGGCCAUUUUUGGUAAGCAGAACUGGCGCUGUGGGAUGCUCCAAACGUUUAGCUAAGGUGCCAAAUGCUAACGCUCAUCUGAACCCAUUAAAGGUGUUGGUUGAUAGAGACAGCAGGACGGUGGCCAUGGAAGUCGGAAACCGCUAAGGAGUGUGUAACAACUCACCUGCCGAAUCAACCAGUCCUGAAAAUGGAUGGCGCUGAAGCGUUGUGAACCUAUGCUAGACCGGCAAUGUAGAGAUUUUUAUUUGUCAAACUUUGCCGAGUAGGAGGGCCGCUGUGGUAUGCGUUGAAGCUUUGGGCGUGGGCCCGAGUCGAGCUUCCACAGGUGCAGAUCUUGGUGGUAGUAGCAAAUAUUCAAAAGAGAACUUUGAAGGCCGAAGUGGAGAAGGGUUCCAUGUGAACAGCAUUUGAACAUGGGUCAGUCGGUCCUAAGCGAUAGGCAAAUGCCGUUCUGAAAGCAGGCUUUUUAUUACGUAAUAAUUUUGAAAAUGCCUGAUUUUGGUCGAAAGGGAAUCGGGUUAAUAUUCCCGAACCUGGACGCGGAGAUUGAAGCGUAGUGUAACAGCUGCGCUUCUGUGCGGUAACGCAAACGAUCUCGGAUUCGUUGGCAGGAGUCCUGGGAAGAGUUCUCUCUUCUUUGUAAGGGGCUGACUCCCUGGAAUCGGCUUAGCCGGAGAUAGGGAUAUUGCAAGCGCCCGUAAAGCACCACACUUCUUGUGGUGUCCGGUGCACGACUGUCGACACUUAAAAGUCCGAGCUAGACGUAAUAAUGUUCGCGCCAGGCCGUACCCAUAUCCGCAGCAGGUCUCCAAGGUGAACAGCCUCUGGUCUUAGACUGAUGUAGUCAAGGGAAGUCGGCAAAUUGGAUCCGUAACUUCGGAAAAAGGAUUGGCUCUAUGGGUUGGGCCGUGACGGGCUGUGCUAGGAAGCGAUGCCUGCUAUUGAUGCUUUGGGUCUGAUUGGCAACGAUCGGACCUAGCGUCGAUUGGCGGCGCGUGGAUCUGGCACGGCUUCUGUCGGCGCUCCUCGUGGGUGUCGRCAUCGUUCGGCAAUAAGCAACCACCAUAGAACUGGUACGGACCAGGGGAAUCCGAC